rnacentral:lncRNA from 1 species
ACAGAGCCACGGGUGAUUUGGGAGGUGAAGUUCUCCGAAGUCACCAUCUGUUCUCCCUGAACCAGACCUUAUGCAGGAACAACCUAAAUAAAUACUAUGCUUAAGGUUCAAAUGCCGACUCAAGCCUGGUCCCUGAGCCCUGCGGGGUUCCAGCGCAAGGGCAUCCCUAGACCCCUCCUAGGUAAGAGAUCUCCAAACCACCUUUUGGGGCUUCGCUACUCCACCCCUCCAGGGACCUCCCUCCCGUUCUCUUACUAUAUUUUUGCGUCAAGGGCAGCCAGUGCAUGGUCAGCAGAGAGUGGGAGGCGUUGGCUGCGGCUGCACGCAGCGCCUUCCCUGGGCUGGGACCGCUACGUCGUGGCCUGGUCCUUGCGUAGCUGCUUAGAGAGACACUAAGCUUUGCUCCUCCUGAUCAUACCUCCAGGCUCCCGGCACCUAUGCACCUCUGAAAUGCAGGAAGUGAUGCGUUGGGCCAGCCUAAAGUGAAUGGGGAACAGGAGACCAUUUCUUCCAAGGCGUUAAAUUCUUAUAUUCAUGCCUGAAAGUCCUUUACUGGAGCUGCAUACAUGUUUAUGAGCGUGGCUCAGCCCGAGCUAACGCCGGAUUCCUGACUUCCAAUUCCAGGUGGAAUUCCUUGCCAGUCAGCCUUGGCCUCUAGAAAUCCAGAGGGUUGUUUUUGUUAAAAGGAGACUGAGAGAAGACAGGUUUUAAGAGGUGGGAGGCAGGGUGGAGUGCCUUGGCGGAAUGUGUGUGUGUGGGGGCGGGUACUUGCAAACUCUGGGAACUCCACUGAAUCUGAGCAGAGGCUCGGGCUCUGCUGCGAGGUGAGGUGGGCAGUAGAAAGAUGAGGUCUGAUCAAAGCAAGACUGUUUAAUAAGGAGUGACCCUGGCCUGGGGCCACGCCCUCAAUAUUCAAUCCCGUUUCCAUGGAAAGGCAGGGAGGGAAUCAGACAGACGUGGGAAGCACCGGGAAGGAAGACGCACUGAGGACUGUAAGGAACGGUGUUCUCAAAGUAUCAGCAAGAUGGUGUUUGGAUGAGCACAGCAUCAGUCUAGGGGGAGAGCUGCCCGGCCCUCCUCUUCCUCUUUGCUAUCUGUGACAAUUCUCAGCCCCUCAGCUCAGAACAACGAGCUUAUAUCUCAUCUCUUCUUGGAGUGUGGCUGCAGCAGCUGGACUUUUUAUUUUUUAUUUUUACCUCAAGUGUGAGUGACUGGCUCCAAUCUCCUGCUCACACUCCAGGAGUGUGCCCCGAACUGGGACUCUGCCCUGGAUCUAAUCUUAAUUCUUGUAGAUUUCACAGGGAGAAGCAGGCUCUGGAGUCCCAACCUUGGGGAGACCCCACGACUGAGUGCACUCAGGCAAGUGGUGGACUUAAAGUCGGCAGUUUUGGAUUGAUCUGAGAAAAAGUUCCAGAAAGACUAGAAGCUAUGUAGGAAUGUGCUGGUUGGAAAAGAAGAGAGCUCUGCGUUCCCUGGAGUAUGCAAGCCUGGGUUAAACAACUUGGAAAUCAUGUAGGCCGUACACUACAAUUUGGAAGAUCUGGGGGCAGCAGGUUUGUUCUGAAAAGAGUGAAUGGUUGUGCCUCUACCCAAGUUGGCCCUCAAGGACACCGCCACCCUCUCCCAGUACCACUACCCUCUGCCAGAGACUCUCCCAUUCACUUUAUUUUCCUGUGGAGGGAGAACGCAGAAAAGGCCCGGUUCCCCGCCCGCGCAUCGCUUCCUUUCCAGCUCCCUCAGCAGCACUUAAAAUGUAAAUGCACAUCGUGAUUAGCCGCGGGGUCGCUAAUUACAGCUGAAGCCAUUCAUUACGCUGUCAGCUCUCUCCAUCGCCUGCCGGCUGUGCAAGUGGGGAGGUGAUGGGGGAAAAGGAUGUGGGGACAGCUCGAUGCUGGCAGCCUGAAAGCCCAGAACUGGCAGAGAGGCGGUGAGCCGAAGAAACCGGUUGGACCGUGAAGAAGCCGUGGUGUCAGAGAGGGGAGAAAGGCGGGAGGCUGGAAGGAAGGAGAUUAAGUGAGGAGGAUGAAGAGGAAGGGUAUAUGAGAAGCGAUACCAGGAUGGGAAGAAGGCCAGAGGAGGAAUCGUGCGAGAUAGGUAGGAACCUUCCAAAAGGGGACAGAGGACAGCGGGAGGAGGAAGAAGGUCCAACGUGGGGAAAGUGGGUAAACAAAGGUACUAUCUUUGCUGCACACAACAUCACGGUUAGAAAGGCAACCAGGACGUAUGCUGAAAAAGCUGGUUGCCCGCCAAACCCUGCGGAUACGUUUGCAUAUGUAAAUGUAUUUUUAAAUACUUACAAGAAAACGGCACACUGGCAUCUGUUACCUCUGUAGCCACAUUCAGAUUUUGUUGCUCUCUUUAAAGGCAAGGAUAACAGAAUACGGAUAGGAAAUUAAGUAAGCGUAAAGUCUUGGAGGAGCCUGUGUAAUUGAGGUACUGACCCGGCAGUCCAGGCUUCAUUAGCCUCUUUCUGCUUCUUGUGACCUUGGACAAUUGACUUAACCCUUGUGCCCUGGUUUGUCACCUGUAAAAGGAGGGUAAUUAUAGUAACCUGCUCACUGUGCCCCUGAGUUCCUGGGACACAGUAGCUGUUAUUUCUUUUCUUAUGUUGUGAUUAAAAUAAAAAUUUAAGAUUGCAAAAGGAGGGGUGAGAGGUGAGAGGAUCAGAAGUUCAAGGUCUUCCUUAGCAGCAUAGCAACAUACCUCUCCUAGGCUACGUGAGUCAUCAGAUUU